GUUUGAUUAUUUUAUUUUUUUACUGCUCCUCCUUUUUUCCAUUUAUUCAUCCCUUCUUACUUGAUUUAUGAAUAAAAUCAACAUUUAGUUGCUGUUGCUAAGCCAUCAAACAUCUUUUUUUUUUCUCAUCAAUCAUCUCUAGGACGGAACUCUGAAUACCAAAAUCAAACGUAUAUGGUUGGCCAUUGCACUAGUCCAGGAGUAGGCAACCUUCGGCACUCUAGAUGUUGUGGACUACAUCUCCCGUAAUUCUCUUACAGUGAUACUGCUACCAAAGCAUCAUGGGAGAUGUAGCCCAAAAUAUCUGUAGUGGCGAUGGCUUCGGAGAUACAGAAUUUGACUGAACAGCAGAUCGGACCAAAUUACAAUUCAUCCGAUUCUGAAUGUACAAGUCUAGUUGGGAUAAUACUAGGGUUGAUAUUAAUGUUGCUAUUGUUAUGAAGUCUUUUUACUUCUAUUUGUACCCUGUAACAUUUAUUUUAUUGUCAAUUACUCAUUGAGUAUUUAGUUAACAGGGCUAGUGCAGAGGGAUCAGAAUUAUUAUUAUUUUUUACUCCUACUUGUAGAGUUGCAGGACUAGAACAAACCAAAUAUACAUAACCGAGUUGUACAGUUUUCUUUUAGAUGAGGAAAAGCUCUUUAGCUCCUAUAACAUUCUACCGAGUUUAUUUAAUAACAAGUGAAUCAUUUAUGUCAUAGCAUGGUGUCUUUAGUAAUUGGUAGCUGAAUUUGGCACAUUCCAAUGAUAGAAUCAAAUUGGCAAGUGUUGUCUAACGUAAAAAGAGUUUGUCAUGGAGAGUAGUGUGAUAACACGUUUGCAAGUAAUUUCCUAUAGAUCUAUAUAUUGUUUGAUACAGUGUUAUUGAAUACUAAAGAGUGCAGUUUAUAUCUCUGCACAGUGAUCACAGUGAUCAACAGUUACAUUGAUGCUAUUACAAAAGCCAUAAAACUUUGCAUUCUUUUUAUCUUUUGUGGACCAAUGAUGGUCUAUGCAAUGAGGUGUUUUAAGACACAUUUGCAAAAUAGAUGGGAUUUAAUUAAUGAGGCAUGGAUAUAUAGGCCUAACAAUUAUACAAAUUAGGACCAAUGGCUGCAUAAGGUCUAAAUUGUGAUGUUUUCAAAAUGUAGCAUCUGGUCCUUAAAGGAUUAAGCUGUAUAUUUUCACAGCAGAACCUAUAGAUUAAAGGAACGCUUCAUUGCCCCACCUCAAAAAAGAUAUAGCUCCAAUGAAAACAUGCAUGCAUUUUUCUCAUUGGUGGUUUAUCUAAAAACAGCUUUUGUCUGCAGCCUUUGCAAGCUCUCCCUUUUUUCCCCAGCAUAGACCUUCAGUUUGUGUUGAGGAACAUUCCGAGUAGUGACUUCUCAUUGAGAAGUCGCUGUGCUGGACCCACAAGGAAGCAGUAGAGAAGUUUUAUGGCUGUCAAUCAAGUGUUUCUGAUCCCAAUUAUAAAGAUGCUGAUUUCUAUUGAAAUUAGCACUUUUGGACACAGUCACACAUGUUACGGGCUCCAGACACAUAAAGCACUUCAGCAAGCUCAAAGUAUAUGACCUAACUAAAGGGUGGCAUGACAUCCAUCCAUAUGUUUAUGAAAGAUAUGAUCACUUUAAGCAAGACCCUUCCUUAUUAUUUAUUGGUCUCACUUUAGCAUAUUGUCUACUCUUCAUUGAUUAUUUUUGUUUCACCAAAGUAUAAGCAAUAAUGUUAUUUUUAAAAACUUGUAUUAAACACGAGGGAUACAGUUAAUGUACUGAACCAAUUUUGUCUGGAAAAAAAAACAUUAUUUGUGCCAUUUUGCUAAAUUAAUUAAAAGUUGAACUGUGAAAUUGGUCUCCAAACAGGCAAUCUUAAAUUGCACUUUACAAAAUAAAAACGAUGUACUUUGUGUUUGUACAGUUGUGCGUGAAAACAUGUAUUGGUUGUUCAGAUAGUUAAAUAAGGUUGAAAAUAAUAAUGCUAAAGGCAUUGCUUUCCAAUACAAUUAGGACUGAUAGUAAAAAGAAUCAAGUACUUAGUAAAGAUGUUUUAUCAAAUACAAAAUGUUUCAUAAAAAUCAAGAUGAUUUAAAUUGUUCCUGAAAAUGUGCAUUGAGUGUUUUCUGAAACACACGGAGGGUUAUUCGUUAACAUGUGAAUUCAAAGUGAAUUUUACGUUUUAGGUCACAAUGACUGUACUAAAACAUAGCUGACUUAAAUAUAUAUAUAUUUUUUAAUACGUUCAUCUCACAUUUGAAAUUCACUUUAGGGAAUUAUCCUGCUGGUAUAGAAAUUGUGAUGAAUUCACUUGCCUGAGAUCAUUUUAUGCUUAAGUGUUUUAUAAUAGUUUCUAUCAUUUAUUUUAUUUUUCUUUUGAAUACAUGUUCACUUGUGUUAGCUAUGGAGAAUUGCAUAGCUAAAAUCAUGGUAUUAAUAUAAAUUUACUUUAAGGGACACUCUAAGCAUUAACAUUAGCAAUGCCAGAACCAGAAUUUUUUACAUGGUCUUUACUUAUCCCCUAAAACUAACAAAUAUGUUUCUUGUUAGGUCUAAAAAACUAAAAUUAAAUAUAGAAAUUAACACAAUUAAUUUGGGACUGGACACCUCCAUUUUGCCUCCCUGGAAGUCAUUACAAAUGUUACCAUUUUCUGGCAUUGAACAUUGUCAUGAAACAGGAGAAACUGAAACAAUGGUACCAUUCUCCUUAUUUGCAUUAAAUGCCCUAGUUGUGCCCAGACUGAACAAACUUGUGAUGUCACUUGUUAAAAUUUUUAUAUACAAUUUAGAAGAAAAUGGAGCCUGAAGAAACGGUUAACAUAACUUAUAGAUGACUUUCAAUGUUUUAUUCAUAAUGUGAAUUUCCAAAGAAGUGACCAUUUCAUACAGGAAUGAAAGCGAAAUCUCUCUUAACGACAAUUUCUGAAUUAAAUUCAUGCUCUGUCAUUGCUUAUCACUGAAAUUAAAUGUCACUGUUUAGACAUAAAAUGUGCAAGGUUAUUGGCAUUAAUUCUGCAUAAUUGUUUCUAAUGCUGUAUGAGUUAUCAAUAAAAAAAACAAAAAACCUUAAAGUCAUAUUUCUUUUGUUGCAAGUUUUGUCACGGGUUUGCCAUUUUUGCAUUUUCUUUUUGACAGUAUUUGCACAUUAUUUCCAUGCUAGAAGCACUGUUAAUGUAGGUAAAAGCACAAUUGUUUGUACAUAGGGAUAUAGAACCACUAGACACAGGUUGCUUAUUUAUGUUUAAUUAGAUUUUACAGAGUCAUUUCUCCUGGUACUUAUGACUACAUGAUAUUUUGUAGACAUUUGCAAUUGUCUCUCAUUGAAGAUCGCUGUACAAUAAUU